rnacentral:rRNA from 1 species
UACGUAGGUGGCAAGCGUUGUCCGGAUUUAUUGGGUUUAAAGGGUGCGUAGGCGGCUUUGUAAGUCAGUGGUGAAAUAUGGCAGCUCAACUGUCAGGGUGCCAUUGAUACUGCAGAGCUUGAGUACAGAUGAGGUAGGCGGAAUUGACGGUGUAGCGGUGAAAUGCGUAGAUAUCGGAAGGAACACCAGUGGCGAAAGCGGCUUCCUGGUCCAGCAUCGACGUUCAGGCACGAAAGCGUGGGGAGCAAACAGG